rnacentral:lncRNA from 1 species
AUAAACCUGUAUAAGAGAAUUCAAAUAUAGGGAAAGACUAAGUGCAUGAGCUUUACUUCUUAGGGUCACACGAUUAACUAUAUUUCGAACCACUAAAGUACCAAGAAACACUACAAUACUUCCCUCUAGUAACAAUACCCCUUCAUCAACUAAUAACCACAAUGUGCAACCUUGCACUCUCAAAAGACUGCUCAAAAUUUAAUAAUUUCUAUCCAACAUAAAAAAUAACAGACUUCACUCCAAUCAAUCUAGAUUCACAGAAUUCUCGUAAUCACAGACUCCCUAUGUCCAAAACAUACACAACUCUCAAUAAACAACAAUCAUAAUCUUCCAUCCAUAAUCAAUCUUCCAAUAACUUCUCAUAUAAUUCAAUCACUCAGUAUUCCAAUUACAUAAUCAAUAACUCGUAAAUCAAUCUCUGAUUUAUUCUAUAGACUUACUUCUCUAUAUUCAAAAACUAUCCAUUACUCUUCAACAACAAAGAAAACAAAGAAAACAAAGAAAACAAAAAAGAAGCACUAAGCUUAACCCCGGCUCAUGACUAUCACAGUUUGGCACCCCUACAAACUUCUACAACUCUUAUAUAAUUACUAUUGAUUAUCAAAUCUUAAUUGUAAUCUUGUAAUAAAUUGCUUAUAAUAACUAAAUCAACCAUCUGUCCUCCUAAACUCACUAUUCUAUAGACUAUUAAUCUAUUUUACUAAUAUCUUACAAAAACAAACUAAUAUCUAUUCUACAUAGCCCCAUUUCUAUUUGUGAAGCAUCUUCAUAAAUAUACAAUUGAUUCUUAUUUAAAAACUACUUAAUAAAACUCUACAAAGUUACUAGUUCUUCUAGGCCAUCCAAUUAAUCAUUUGCUGUAUUAUCGAAUGUAGGUUCUACCAAUUCUAAUUCUAAAUUCAAAUUUUUCUCCUCCUCCAAUCUGUCUAUCGGCUCCUUUCUCAACUAGUCUAAUAGAUCUUCAUUAUACUCACCCAAUUCAUAGACUUGAGCCUCCAAUUUCAAGAACUAGGCAUCACGGAGUUCCAACUGAUGUUGCUGUUGACUCAUCCAUUCUGGAACAUCUUCAAUUGAUACUUAUGAUUA